AGAGUUUGAUCCUGGCUCAGAUUGAACGCUGGCGGCAGGCCUAACACAUGCAAGUCGAGCGGUAGAGAGAAGCUUGCUUCUCUUGAGAGCGGCGGACGGGUGAGUAAUGCCUAGGAAUCUGCCUGGUAGUGGGGGAUAACGUUCGGAAACGGACGCUAAUACCGCAUACGUCCUACGGGAGAAAGCAGGGGACCUUCGGGCCUUGCGCUAUCAGAUGAGCCUAGGUCGGAUUAGCUAGUUGGUGAGGUAAUGGCUCACCAAGGCGACGAUCCGUAACUGGUCUGAGAGGAUGAUCAGUCACACUGGAACUGAGACACGGUCCAGACUCCUACGGGAGGCAGCAGUGGGGAAUAUUGGACAAUGGGCGAAAGCCUGAUCCAGCCAUGCCGCGUGUGUGAAGAAGGUCUUCGGAUUGUAAAGCACUUUUAGUUGGGAGGAAGGGCAGUUACCUAAUACGUGAUUGUUUUGACGUUACCCACAGAAUAAGCACCGGCUAACUCUGUGCCAGCAGCCGCGGUAAUACA
rnacentral:rRNA from 1 species